ensembl:lncRNA
ACGGUGCGUCUGGGUGGUAGCCUAUUGGUGCUGGAAGUUGGCAAUACAUGAUGCACAGUGGCCACAUGGAGAGGAGACACAAAGCAGAUAUGUAAAGCCCAGCAGACAUGCGUACAGGUAGAGACGUUGCCAUUGUACCUAGGGGGUAACUGACAGUCAAACGGUACUUUGUGGUGUAAAAGAAAAUUCCCCUAGACUAAAUUAAUGACACAGAAAGCAGUUUUCUUCAUCAUCAGACUCAUUCUCCUCUCACUGAUGAGGUGUCUUGGGCACAGAGAGGUUAGGUCAGCUCCCCCACGUCAUUCAGGUCAUACUUGUUUGAAUCCCAAAGGCAAGGAACAUUCAGCCCGUCCAAACUAAGCCAUCCACCCCGAGUCCCUACACACAUCUGCACCUCCUCUAGUGUUUGCCUGACUCAGUGCAAGGCAGCCUUCUCCCCGGCUGCUUUGGCCAGAGAUCCUUACAGUCAUCUGUGCCUGCCGCCUCUGUCUCACCAUCCCCUCAGGCACCAAGCCCUGCCUUUCUGCUCCUAAGUCUAGGCAAGAUCCUGCCACUUCUCUCCAUCACCACAGUGAGAUCCCUAGUCCAGGUCACCCUCAGCUCUACUCUGCACGACCACCACCAAUCCUGAUCCUUUGCCACCCUUUUUCCAUUCCACUGCCCGAGGAACCUUUCUGAAGUCCUAAUCUAGGAACGCCACACCUGUUCAAACCUCUGUGGGGGCUGUCCGCUGCUCUAGGGAUAGUGUCCGGCCUCCUGGACUAGGCACAUCAGGAGUCGCGUGCCCCUGAGUGCCUGAUCCUCACCGGACCCCUCCUGCUCCAUUCCCCCCACUUGACAUUCCAACCACCCCAAACCCCUUUCUGUACCUCACAUGGCCAGUGUGCUCACAAUCGUUCCUGCUGACCACUCCCAGACUGCACAUCCUCACAGGUGCUGUUCCCGCCAUCCUCAUCUGCUGGUUUCCUUCUUCGGUUCGGUGUCACGUUGGGUGGUGCAAUUUCCAUUUUACCUGGGCCGCACCUGGAUGAGAAGUCAGUUAACUCCUACUUUUAUAGAAUGGGAUGUGGUGGGGAUUUCUUGUUGAAUUCCCCAAAUCAAAACAAGGUUUACUGUGGUUCACAGUGAGCUGAGCUGAAAUGCAAUCUGAUGCCUGCCUUUUUUGGGAAAAGCUUCCUUGCUAAUAAGCACAGGGGACAGAUGGCAAAGGUCUCUCUGCUUAUUGUAUUUGGGCCCACUUUUGCCUUUGAACAUGGACUUUGGAAUCAGAUCACAAUUUUGGAACUAUCAAUGGAUCCAGGGUGAUCACCUGCCUGACAGUGAGGAGGGAUAACCCAGAACAUGGGAGAUACCUGUCACUUUAUGGUGUCUGUGACCCAGUAAAUGGAACAGGCCCGAUCUGCUCUGCCCAUGGACUUUGUUUUGAUGACACGUUCACUAUUUCCCACUCGAUUUUAUAGUCGGAGUUCUCUGUUAGGACAACAGAAAGUACAGUAACUUUCCUCUCUUUGCAGUGGAGCUGAUUUUCUAGUUCUUGGGGCCCUGAGGGUGGCAGGGAUCAGCUGCCUGCUCAGGAUGGGGGGACCCUCCAAGGUCAUGUGCCAGUGCCUUCCUGCAGCUCCUCAGGUGUCUGCACAGGGUGCUGUCAACCCCUGGAGGCACCCAGACGAUCCAGUUCCUAGAAGGUCCGGGAGAGAGAGUGUGUAGGUUCUACCAGCUACACACUCAGCUGUGAGGAUCCCCUUCAUUCACUACAACUCCUCUAAGCAGAACACACCUAAGUAUGAAAUGAAGCGUGUGUCUCUGAUACGUAAGGUCAAAGAAAAAGAUGGAAAUGGCACCACCCCCCCUACCCCACAGCCACCCCAGUCAGAGGGUGGAGUAGACUCCUGGGGCCGUGGCCUGGAUCCCUCCACACUGAUGUGUCCCUAACAGGGGUGCAGUGUAAACGGCUCUUCCUCAAGCCUGGCUCUUGAGCUCAUGUGAGCAGGGCAGACACGGUUUUAUUUCCCCAAGGGCCAGAGAGGUAAGUAUCAACCCACUGCCUUCCACAGACAAGGAAAUAAGCUCAAAGAGGUUAAGUCGCUGAUGCAGUGGAGGGUGGAUCUGGGAGUCACGCCCCGGGUCUGUCAGACUCCUGAGCCAGUCUUCUUUGCCGUCACUUCACAACAAACUUGGUUUGGGUUUUUGUUGCUGAGAUGCAGAUACUGUUCCAUGAUGGGACAGUCACUGUUGUCCCAGUACCGUGUCCACCGGUGACGUCCAGGCACCCAGCAGGGCAAAGGCACCGUGAACGGCUCUCAGACCCUCUCUGUGUCGCCUUCAGGGGAGCUGCUCUGAAGCCCAGAGACCCGGAGUCCACUGGUGGGAAGGGCCUGCCUCAGAGCCAACAGGCAGGCAGGACGUUGACUUUCCCUGCGGGGAGGCACUGCACCAUGCCAGAGAGGCUUUGCCAUCACCCCCCAGGCCCGGUUACGGCCCAGUUAGGACUCGACCCGUCUCCCUCUGUUUAGCAGAUACUAGGAAUUGAGAGGCGAGCAGAGGCAGAGGAGGUGCUUUCAGUGGCUGCAUGGCCUCUCGGGAGGUGACCCAGCCGCCAUGGUGGUCUGGAGCCCAAAGACUGAGAAUGGAAAAUGGCUGCACUGGUUUUGCUGUCGGUGCCCUUCAGCCUGUGUGUCUGUAAACUGGAAGAUCACGGUGCCUCCCUCAGGAACCUCCCCACCCUUGAGAAGUGUGUCUUGACCAAACACCCACAACCCCUCCCCCUGAUACUUUGGCAGGGGUCAGUGCCCUCCUCUGUGUUCCUAGGUUUCUAGGACUUAAAUCCCGCCAUCACUCACACAACAGGUGGCUGUCAUCUGCUUGCAGGUUCCAGCCCACAUCAUCCCCACAUCCCCAAACUAGGCCCAGGAGGCUGAGAUGUAGUGUCUUGGCGGUGCUGAGACUGUUUCCUCAAUGAACAAAGGACCCUG